GACGAACCGUGCGAACGUUGUUCGGAAUCACUGGGCUUAAAGGGCGCGUAGGCGGGCGGGCGCGUCCGGGGUGAAAUCUGUCGGCUCAACCGGCAGACGGCCCCGGGUACGGUCCGCCUCGAGGGGGGUAGGGGGGCGCGGAACUCUGGGUGGAGCGGUGAAAUGCGUUGAUAUCCAGAGGAACUCCGGUGGCGAAGGCGGCGUCCUGGACCCCAUCUGACGCUGAGGCGCGAAAGCCGGGGGAGCGAACGGG
rnacentral:rRNA from 1 species